rnacentral:rRNA from 1 species
UACAGAGGUCUCAAGCGUUUGUUCGGAUUCAUUGGGCGUAAAGAGUGCGUAGGCGGCGCGGUAAGUCGGGUGUGAAAUCUCGGAGCUUAACUCCGAAACUGCAUUCGAUACUGCCGGUGCUUGAGGACUUGGAGAGGAGACUGGAAUUUACGGUGUAGCGGUGAAAUGCGUAGAUAUCGUAAGGAAGACCAGUGGCGAAGGCGGGUCUCUGGACAGUUCCUGACACUGAGACACGAAGGCCAGGGGAGCAAACGGG